UGGGGAAUAUUGCACAAUGGGCGCAAGCCUGAUGCAGCCAUGCCGCGUGUAUGAAGAAGGCCUUCGGGUUGUAAAGUACUUUCAGCGGGGAGGAAGGUGUUGAGGCUAAUAACCUCAGCAAUUGACGUUACCCGCAGAAGAAGCACCGGCUAACUCCGUGCCAGCAGCCGCGGUAAUACGGAGGGUGCAAGCGUUAAUCGGAAUUACUGGGCGUAAAGCGCACGCAGGCGGUCUGUCAAGGCGGAUGUGAAAUCCCCGGGCUCAACCUGGGAACUGCAUUCGAAACUGGCAGGCUAGAGUCUUGUAGAGGGGGGUAGAAUUCCAGGUGUAGCGGUGAAAUGCGUAGAGAUCUGGAGGAAUACCGGUGGCGAAGGCGGCCCCCUGGACAAAGACUGACGCUCAGGUGCGAAAGCGUGGGGAGCAAACA
rnacentral:rRNA from 1 species